rnacentral:rRNA from 1 species
CCCUUAGAUGUUCUGGGCCGCACGCGCGCUACACUGAUGCAUUCAACAAGCCUAGCCUUGACCGAGAGGUCCGGGUAAUCUUUGAAACUGCAUCGUGAUGGGGCUAGAUUAUUGCAAUUAUUAAUCUUCAACGAGGAAUGCCUAGUAAGCGUGAUUCAUCAAAUCGCGUUGAUUACGUCCCUGCCCUUUGUACACACCGCCCGUCGCUCCUACCGAUUGAAUGUGUUGGUGAGGAGCUCGGAUUGGCAGCAGUUGGUGGUUCGCCACCGGCUAUUGCUGAGAAGUCCUCCAAACCGCCCCCUUUAGAGGAAGGAGAAGUCGUAACA